UUGGAGGGCAAGUCUGGUGCCAGCAGCCGCGGUAAUUCCAGCUCCAGUAGCGUAUAUUAAAGUUGUUGCAGUUAAAAAGCUCGUAGUUGAAUUUCGGGGUCAGUAGGCUGGUCGUGCCUCAGGUACGUACUGGUCUUACUGAUUCCUCCUUCCUGACGAACCGUAAUGCCAUUAAUUUGGUGUUGCGGGGAAUCUGGACUGUUACUUUGAAAAAAUUAGAGUGUUUAAAGCAGGCUAACGCUUGAAUACAUUAGCAUGGAAUAAUGAAAUAGGACGAUCGAUCCUAUUUUGUUGGUUUCUAGGAUUGACGUAAUGAUUAAUAGGGAUAGUUGGGGGCAUUAGUAUUCAAUUGUCAGAGGUGAAAUUCUUGGAUUUAUUGAAGACUAACUACUGCGAAAGCAUUUGCCAAGGAUGUUUUCAUUAAUCAAGAACAAAAGUUAGGGGAUCGAAGACGAUCAGAUACCGUCGUAGUCUUAACCAUAAACUAUGCCGACUAGGGAUCGGAUGAUGUUAAUUUUUUAAUGACUCAUUCGGCGCCUUACGGGAAA
rnacentral:rRNA from 1 species